GCUUUAUCCUUUGUCAUUGUUUAAUAACAAAAUCGAUUUAACUUGUUACUUUUUUCUACCACUAAGUAAUGAUAAAUUAUUGUUAAUAACUUUUAUUUUUUGGAUGCUCAGAAUACAGGAAAUAGCAUUUCCGAGUUUCAAAUUUCAAAAUGUUUCUGGGAAUUUUCCCUCUAAUAAGUAAUGAUAAAUUACAGUUAAUUAAUAUACUUUUUUACUUUUUGUGCAUUUUUUCCAUCUUUUAUUUCAAAUACAAGUAUAGUUAGCAUAAAUUUUAGAGCAAAUGUGGAUGCUCAGAAUGCAGGAAAUGGCAUUUCCGUGCUUCAAAUUUCAAAAAUUUUCUGGGGGAGUACACCCCCACACACCUGACCAUUACCAUCCUCCUCUAAUAAGUAACGAUAAAUGAUGGUUAAUUUUUUUUAACUUUUUGUGCGUUUUUUCCUUUAUUUAUUUCAAGUAAAAGUAUAGUUAACAUAAAUUUUGGAGCAAAUUUGGAUGCUCAGAAUGCAGGAAAUGACAUUUCCGGGAUUCAAAUUUCAAAAUUUUGUAUAUUGGUAUAGUGGUAUAUUGGCCACACACGUUGUCUUCAGCAAUUGCUAUCCCCCUCUAAUAUAUUAUCUCACAGAAAAGUCCCUUUUCAAAAAAUCCCCCCCCCCCCACGGGAAAAUCUUUAAAAAAGGCCCUGAACCUAACA